GCUGAAGGGAAGUGGCGUGAACAUGGCUCAGUGCAACCUCCACCUCCCGGACUCAAGUGAUCUUCCCAUCUCAGCCUCCUAAGUAGCUGGGACCAUAGGUGUGUGCCACCAUGCCCGGCUAAUUUUUAAAUUUUUUGUAGAGAUGGUGUCCCACUAUGUGGAGUCUUCUUCAUAUUGAUCAAAGUGGCAGUUAAACAAGAAUAUAAUUACAUAAAAGUGUACCAAAAUGUAUAUUUAAGAUUGGUGCACAUUGCUGUAUAUAUUAUACUUUGAUAAAGAGUAUUACAGAAAAUUUUAAUUUUCUUCUUUUUGCUGUUUUCUAAAUGGUCACACCUUUUUCUCGGCUAUAUUUCCAAAAGUCUAAACUGAAACAUAAAUUAUAAUGAGAAGAAAAACAAUAAAGGUUAUUAUUUUUAAAACACUAGAGCUGAAUCUCAGCUACCUAUCUAGAUCUCUUGGCCUGAGCCCUGGACCCAGCUAAAAAUAGUUCAGAGCCUUGCCAGCUGGGAGCUGGGCUAUGUUUAGCAGAAACUGGCACACGAGUGAAAUGGGGUGGAGCCAAGUAGACACUUUGGAUCCGGUAGGCAUAGCUCUCCCACAGGAGACUGUUUAGGCCAUGCCUGGCAUCAGUAACUCAGGCUGUUUCCCACACUACAGGCCAGCACUGUGGGCUCUCAGUUUAUUGGGAAAUGGAAAUAAGAGGGAAGGACAAAAGUCCACUGGGAAGCAGACUGGACAGAAAGGAACUCUGAGCAGCUAAACUCUGACUAAUCCCAGGGUAUACCUGCGUUUUCUCUUCACCAGACAAACUGCGGCCUGGACCAGCUGGUGAAACAUAAUUCUGAAUCCUGCCCACAGCCUUCGGUGGUUUUGGAUGAAAGGCCAGCGCCUUGGGAGCCCUGCGUUUGAUUUCAAGUUUUAAGGCCGGCACUGGUGGAGCAAUGAAUGGUGAAAGCUCUCCCCUUAAAGGAGCACAGUUGCCUUUAGGUGACUGCUAACUCAGGCUUUUGCUGAGGACAGUGUUUACUUUGUGAGCUUAAUGACAGGGCUGGCUUUCUGGGAGUGUUGCAAUGAAACAGACUCAGACACAGGCCAUCAUGGGCCUCCUCCCUAGCAAGGCCGCCACGGCUGGCAUCUCAAGAGCAGUCCGUUGAACUUGGGAUUUGGGUGUGAGACACAGUUUCAUCAGAAGAAUUUAAACCAAAGUCUACAUUUGCCCUCUAGAUAAAUGUGUGUGUUCAGCAGCAACCACAACUCCUUGCCUCAUUCUCUUGGUUGAUUAUGUGACUGUGAGAAGAAAAGCAAAAGCAAAAAUGCGAAGCGUAGCUAUGAUGCUAUUUUAGUUAAAAAUAUUCUGGUAGAAUUUGAAGGUACCAUAGAGAUUACCUACAGAUGGAAAAAACUGAAGGUCAGAGAUGGGAAGUGCCUUGUCCAAGAUCACACAGCAUAUAAGGGAAGAAGUAGGACUGAAAUCCAGAUUUCUCUGUUCCUGUUCCUGUUUUCUCUUUUCUUUUUUUGAGACAAGGUCUCACUCUGUCGCCCAGGUUGGAGUGCAAUGGUGCAAUCUCGGCUCACUGCAACCUCCAACUCUUAGGCUCCAGAGACCAUCCUACCUCAGCCUCUUUAGUAGCUGAGAUCCUGGCUAUUUUUUAUUUUUGGUAGAGAUAGGGUUUCACCAUGUGGCCCAGUCUUGUCUUGAACUCCUGAGCUCAAACGAUCCACCCACCUUGGCCUCCCAAAGCGUUGGGAAUAUAGUGUGAGCCACUGCACCCGGCCAGGUCCUGGUCUCUUUUCAUUAUUAUACAGCUGUCAACAAUCAUGGAGAGUUCUUUUUCCCUUUUGUUGGGUUCUUGUUCCUUUGCAAAGUCUAUAAAGAACCAAGAUGAUCCAGGAAAUUCAGGGAGUCCUCAUUCACUUCCAAAGGCAGUUUGUUGUCUGUUGGCUGUGCUGUAUGAAUUGCUGUUUCAAUUAAGUUUUUCAACAUUUCCUAUGAAGGCAUGCAAAUGACCACUGAUUCUAAAUAAACCCAUUUAGGUAUUCAGGGUUUAUAAAUAUAGAGAAUCUUGCUUUCUGCCUCAUUCUUUCUGUCUUCCCUGGCAUUCUUCCCUCUAUCCACCUCCACUGAGAUGCAUUUUUAUAAAAGACUUUACUUAGGACACAUAUUUUGAUGAAAUCCUUAACAUUUUUCUUCUUUCCCAAUUUUUAUAUUAUCAUUGUUAUAAUGCAUUACAAUAAUUUAUAUUUUGCAAAUUUGUUUUAAUAUGUUAAUUUUGCAAUGUAACUAUCUCAAGGCUUCUAAUGAGGAGAGGAGGAGGCCACAGAUAGGACUAGAUAGAGAGACUUUUAAAGAUGUGGGUAGGGUGUUUGUGAAUGUCUGGGCAGUGGAAUAUUUAUGCAGCACUGUGGGUGUUUUGAACCCUCUGGAAACUAACAAGCAAGCUCCACACAUAAACUUGGUGGAAGUCCUCCAAACUUUGGACAACACAGAGGCCUUUCAGAAGUCUGAACCAAGUCCAAGUCAAAUUACA
rnacentral:lncRNA from 10 species